rnacentral:piRNA from 1 species
UGCAACCAAUCAGACAUUUGCACAGGAAUGU